AUGGCUAAUAAAAACGCCAACCAACCUGGGCAGGACAUGAUGGAGGAUAGUGUCUCAGAAGACAGUCCUCUGAAGGUCAGGACAGAUCAAGAACAAGAGGCUUCAGAGAAAAUGGAAACGAAAGAAACAAUUCCUGAAAAGAUGGUUUUUGGAGGUCCACUUCCAGGGAUUCUCGAUUUAGAGGAUGGCUGUCUUGUGUCAGCUGUCAGAGUCGAGGCGAGAUUCUCUGAUGAGGAGGACAGCGAAGAGGCCGAUGACAGUCCAAGUCCUACAGCAGAAUGUGAAGCUUCUUUACCAAGUGUGGACAGAACAUCAAACAGAAAUCCAGUUGAGAGCAAGAAUGAAAACCAAAGUGAUGAUGAUGAUUGGGAGGAGGAGGAUGAUGAAGAUGAGGAGCUGUUGAAAACUGAGAAGAACGUCUUAGAAGUGGAGACCUCUCAAGGGACAGCUACUGAAUGUGAUCCACAACUUCAAGAUGAAACCAAUGAUGUUCCUCUGCGACAAAAUAGAGGAAUAACUGGUCUUUGGUAUGUUCCUUCAGCAUCACCUAAGCCAAAGGCUAUAACUACUGCAGAUGAUGAUGAGGAUGAUUGGGAUGAUGUUGAGGAGGAAGAAGAAGUGCAAACAAAGAAGCCACUAAAUCUAUUUCUAACAUUGCUGGGACAGAAGGAACCAGAGAGCCCUGAGGUAUCUUGGGAGUCUGGCUCAGACAAAAUUGAUGGGACGCCUGAAGGAGAUAAGGAGUCAAACACGGAGAUGCCAAAAGCAGAAAAAGACCAACAUCAAGAGGCUUUGGUUCAGGACGACAACACUUCAAAAAGGGCAUCUUUAGAAUCUAUCGAGCACCUUUCCCAGAGUCCUUUACAUGAUGAACCUGGGUGUAUUGAUCAGGGUGAUGACAGUGGAGCUAUACCAGUGUCCAUGAUUGUUGGUCAAAGUGAUGAAGACCAAAGUAUAAGUCAAGAGCACGGCAGCCAAGUCAAGCAAAUGCAGUAUGACUUUGCAAGUGGCUCGGUCAAGGUUUCCGAAAUGGAUCAGAUCUCUGAUGUCUCUGACAAUGAGUCUCUGUCGGAAGAAUAUGAUGUAUGUUUUGAUGAUGCAGAUCAACCACAAGCUUCAAAUCUCUCCAAUAGUAGCCCAAAAUGUUCUGCCAUUUCAAGUUCAGCACAGUUUGAAAAACCAUUGAUGAGAUAUCUCUCAAAUAGCCCCAAACCAUUAAAUGCAAUGAGUCCCGUUUCAACAAGUCCUAGUCCCAAACACGCACCAAGUCCAAGGCAUCAACAUUCAACUGCAACAAGUCCACAAAACUCAAGUUCCUCAAGCCACUCACCAAGUCCCCAACAUUGUAGUCCAUCACCUUCAUCGAUUAACCAUCUGGAUCAAGACUCACAGGACAAGAACAAAUCUACAAAUCUAGAAUCUCCUCAACAUUCAAGCCCCGAUUCUCAAGUUGAGGAUGACCUUUCCGUAGAGUUCGCAGAUGAACCAGAACCAGCUCUUCAAGAAGAAAUCCCCUACACCGUCAUAGACGAAGUUGAUCUCACUUCUAAUUCUGAUGAAGAUGACGGUGAGGAGCAACUUGAGAAGUUGCAUGAACCGAACUCUGUAAAUAAAGCCGUAAUGGAAGAAAGAUGUUCAAAGCACGGAUCAUUACAGGUACUCGGGUGA
ensembl:lncRNA